GAUGAAAACGUAGUGAAAUGCGAUAAGUAAUGUGAAUUGCAGAAUUCAGUGAAUCAUCGAAUCUUUGAACGCACAUUGCGCCCCCUGGUAUUCCGGGGGGCAUGCCUGUUCGAGCGUCAUUUCACCACUCAAGCCUCGCUUGGUAUUGGGCAACGCGGUCCGCCGCGUGCCUCAAAUCGACCGGCUGGGUCUUCUGUCCCCUAAGCGUUGUGGAAACUAUUCGCUAAAGGGUGUUCGGGAGGCUACGCCGUAAAACAACCCCAUUUCUAAGGUUGACCUCGGAUCAGGUAGGGAUACCCGCUGAACUUAAGCAUAUCAAUAAGCGGAGGA
rnacentral:misc_RNA from 1 species